AACUGAGGCGUUUUAAAGUUAACCAGUUAGUUUCGUGUUAUGACUGCUCAGAGCUGCUCUGACACGCCGGGAUUUUCCCAGAAAAAGCUCCCUCAGGUAGGAAAGAGGAAAGAGCUCGAACAUGCAGAGGAUUUCUUGGAAAACUGUUAAUUCUUCUCGAAACGCUGUAUUUAGGAGAUGUUUAAUUCUCCUCAGGCGUGUUCCCGACACGGUUUCCAGGUUCUCAAAACAAAACACCCAACUUUUUAUAAUUGUUCUUUCACCUUUAAUGAACUUCACUGUGUUUGCGACUCAAAACUAGUCCAAUCGCGUUCCGGGGGAGAAAGAUACAUAUUUGACGGGGUUCGCCCGGUAAAAAUCGCGUUCCUAUGGCUAAAUAUCACGUCAAUCCACGGCAGCGGUGUUACACUUGACCAAUUUACCGGGAAAGCUGCGCGGACCUGGCAACAGUGCGCCAGGACACACUGAUGAUUGACAGGUGAGACUGACAGAUGGUUUUCAGGCCGGCAGCCUCUGAUUGGACGGUUUCACCCAUCAACAUCGCCCCGCCCACCACUGGAUUUCACAUGAUUUCACGGUAACUGUGAUACUUUUAGACCUGGUUUCAUAGACAGGGUUUAACCUAAACCAGGAUUAGACCAUAGUUCAGUUAGGACAUGUAAGACUUUCUUUAAACAUGCCUUAGAGAAAAAAAACAUUACUGGUGUGAAUCUGAAGACAAAACAAAGGCACUGACAUGUUUUAAGAUCAGUCAGUACAAGUUUCUUUCAGUUGAAACCGCUCAGAUUUACAUUUUAGUCUAGGACUAAGUUUAAGCCUUGUCUGUGAAUCCAGGGGUUAGUAUUGAUGAAUUCAGAACUGUGAUGCAUUUUAUUUUUCAGGAUUCACAGAUGAAUAGAAAGUUCAAAGAACAGCAUUUAUUAGAAAUAUAUAUCUUUUGUUACAUUAUAAAUGUCUUUAUAAAUGUCUUGUUUGUAAAACUACUUUUGUGAAACUUUUGAAUAUAGGUAUAUCACAGAAAUAUAUAUAUUUUCUUUUUUUCACACUGAUAAUAAUCAGAAAUGUUUCUUGAGCAGUAAAUCAUCAUAUUAUUCUGAUUUCUGAAGAUCAUGUGACACUGAAGACUGGAGGAAUGAUGCUGAAAAUACAGCGGAGCAUCACAGAAAUACAUUACACUUUAACACAGAUUCACACAGAACACAGCUGGUUUACAUUGUAAUAUUAUUACACAAUAUUAUUGCCUUUUUAUCAUAUAAAUCAUAUAAAUACAGUCUUUGUGAGCAGGAGAGACUCUAAAACCCUAAAACAUAAUUAAUGCAACAUUUUACCUUCAUUUUCGUCAUACUGUAUGUUUGAAAUACUAUGUGAUGUAUUGUUUCCCACAAUGCAAUGUGCUGAUGAUUAUAAAUAAUUACAGCAUUUUUACACUAAAGUGGAUUUUAAUAACUAUCCUUAUAUAGUUCACACCAUAUCUAUAAUGAUAAAGACAGAGAAAUUAUACCUUUGGAGUCUCUUUGACGGUGUUUCUUUGUUCCAUGUUCACUCUUAGUUUGCCUUAUUACCCAUUUGAGGAACUGUACAAACCAUUAUGAACUUAUCCAGAUAUGGUGCAGAGUAUAUACUGAGUAUUAUUCUUUUUAUUGGUUAUAUAUUUAGCUUGUUUUUAUUUGAAUUGCCUCCAAGCUAAUCUUGUUAAUAACUGAGGCCAUGUGAUGACAGCGAGUAUGCUGUAGUACUGUAUGAAAUGUCUGUCACUGCAUGCUUUUACAGGUACUGUUUACGGUAAGUACACUAGUAAUCCAUUGAGAACGCAGCCGUUGUGUUGGUCUGAGAAGCUCUCGCAUCUGUUGUUGGUGUUGAUGAUUCCUGGCCCGUUCUGCUGGAUUCUGAAAGCAGAUCUUCAGCACGACUGCUGUUUGAAGAGCUGAAGGCGGAGUGAACGUUGACCAGAGACAGACAAAUAUUUACUCCGGUAAAAGUGCAAACGCAACACAUUUCCCGCAUGUCAGAACCUGUAUGGAUCCAUAUUGUUCACUCUCUCUGUCUUUCCUGUCAAAGUAACUUCAUGGGCAUAUCGUACAUGUUGUAUUGCAACAGUAUUAAAAAGUCAUGUUCAGUUGUCAUGACAUGUAAAUUAUUGCAAAGAAAUUUUUUUAUUAUGAUAACCAUGCAUUUAUUGAUCUUUCAAAUCACUUUUUUAUAUUGCAUCAUAUUUAGGUCUACUUCUAUAAAUGUCUUUCUCAUCUGAUCUGGUGAUUUCUCCAUUUACUGUAUUUAUGCAUUGAUGCUUCAUGCAGUCUCUGAAAUUUGUUCAGUAACUGAGGUUUUGGUCCGGAUGAAUCUGAGAACUGUCGUUUCUGAAUUCUGACCUUUGACCUCUGACCUUGGUGAGGCAGUGAUCCAAUGGACGUCUGAACUUCAGAUUUGGUCUGUAGUAUUUAAUUAUAUCACAUCAUGCCAGUACACCAGUAAACAAAGGACUUCAAGGCAGAUUAAGUUAACUAAAGAAGUUGACUGUAAAACAAGGCUGCUCUGGAUAACGUUUCAUGUAAGCAUUGUGAAUAAAAUUCAUGGAAGAAUAGAAUCUCAAUCAAGAUGACAAGCUCCUUUCAGUAACUUGAUGCUAGCUUUCACACCAACAUGAACAUAAACACUUAUACGAGUCUCUAGAAUCAUCUCAUCGUUUCUCAAUAUCAAGAAUAUCAUAAUUUCUCGUUAUCCAGAGAAGACAACCAGAUCCAAGUCAGUGCAAAGGUACAGCAUCUGCCUCGGGAGAGAAAAAAAUAAAAUAACUUUUGCUCUCCAAAAGCGUUCACGGCUGAUAUGCUGUGGAUUCUAUUAUUUGUAAGACUCAGGUCAAAGGGCGAUGCCAAAUACAAUUCUGGAAAUGUUUUCAUGAUGUAUAAACACUUAUGGAUCUACAGGACACACUUCAUCAAAGAAUGCACAUUUACACUGGACUACGCCGAUAUGUCUGUGUAAACCAGAUGUAUUUCUUGAGUCCUCAUGAUCUAAGAGCUGCCAUCAGAGGGCAGUGUUGCUCUUACCUGCAGCGCUGAGGAUUCUGGGAAAUAAACCCAUGUCUCUCAACUCAACUGAUGAA